CAUUACAGAGUUGCAAAACUCCCAAACCAUUGUGAACGUUACCUUUACCGUUGCUUCGGCGGGCGGCCCGGGUCCUGCCCGGCGCCCCUCGGCCCUCGCGGGCGCCCGCCGGAGGUAAACCAAACUAUUGCAUUGUAUGGCCUCUCUGAGUCUUCUGUACUGAAUAAGUCAAAACUUUCAACAACGGAUCUCUUGGUUCUGGCAUCGAUGAAGAACGCAGCGAAAUGCGAUAAGUAAUGUGAAUUGCAGAAUUCAGUGAAUCAUCGAAUCUUUGAACGCACAUUGCGCCCGCCAGUAUUCUGGCGGGCAUGCCUGUUCGAGCGUCAUUUCAACCAUCAAGCCCCCGGCUUGUGUUGGGGACCUGCGGCUGCCGCAGGCCCUGAAAACCAGUGGCGGGCUCGCUAGUCACUCCGAGCGUAGUAGUUUACAUCUCGCUCAGGGCGUGCUGCGGGUUCCGGCCGUUAAAAGCCUUAUUUUACCCAAGGUUGACCUCGGAUCAGGUAGGAAGACCCGCUGAACUUAAGCAUAUCAAUAAGCGGAG
rnacentral:rRNA from 1 species